GUCUCUAGUACGAGAGGACCGAGAUGAACGAACCUCUGGUGUAUCGAUUGUGGCCACCUGCCGCAUUGUCGAGUAGCUAUGUUCGGUUAAGAUAAGCGCUGAAAGCAUAUUAAGCGCGAAACUGACUCCAAGAUUAGGAAUCCCCAUGAGGACACAGAAAGAUGAUCUGUUUGAUAGGUGCAAGGUAGAAGCAUGGCAACAUGUGCAGCCAAAGCAUACUAAUAGUCCCAUUGCCUUUUUAUG
rnacentral:rRNA from 1 species